rnacentral:lncRNA from 1 species
CCUUUGUCUCCCGCUGGCCCGCGCCUCCCCGCCCCCACCUGCCUCUCAUAUUCCUGGCCACCGGGGGAGGCGCCCUGGGCCGGUGAGGGCAGAGGCUGGAGGCCGAGGCGGGGACGCCUUGAGCGCUGGACCCGGAGCCUUCAGGCGGGCGGGGUGCGAGCUGAGCUGGUCAGCAGGGGCUGGCAUGUUAGGGCUUCUUGUCCUGCAGGCUGGCUCAUGUCCACCUGCCACACACCUGGCUCUCCUCCCCAGAGGGCAGUCCCUGGCCCCGCAGGCUUUCGCUGACCCACGUCCAAGAGCUGGUAAAGGAGCUGCCACACUCUGCGGCUUUCCUUAUCACUCAAGUCCUUCUGGGACAGAGCAGGCCUCACCUGAGCUGGGCCAAACAGAGGACUUGAUGUCCCUGGCUUUGGUUCAGGAAUGGGAAUGGAUCGGAGCCCCUGGAUCCAGCUAUGCCUGAAG